rnacentral:rRNA from 1 species
UGGCGGACGGGUGAGUAAUGUCUGGGAAACUGCCUGAUGGAGGGGGAUAACUACUGGAAACGGUAGCUAAUACCGCAUAACGUCGCAAGACCAAAGAGGGGGACCUUCGGGCCUCUUGCCAUCAGAUGUGCCCGGAUGGGAUUAGCUAGUAGGUGGGGUAACGGCUCACCUAGGCGACGAUCCCUAGCUGGUCUGAGAGGAUGACCAGCCACACUGGAACUGAGACACGGUCCAG